GUCCUGUGUCUUCUGGUCUCUCUUUUAGGGAUAGUUGUAUUUGUUGUAUUUUUAAAAAUAUAUGUGGUUUUGGGAGGAGAUUUCCGCUGCUCUACUCACGCCGCCAGCUUGGUUCUCCUUCAAAUUUUUAAGACGUUUGGAUCUGUAUUAAUGGGGUUUUCUUUUAAAAAUUGUUUAUUAGUUUGGUUUUGAGAUUAUUGGUUCUGCUAGUUUUGUAAAGUGAAAUGGUAAGCUUAUCUUUUUCUAUACCCUGAAAAAAAAUUGAAUUCUUAGGGAUUAUCUGUUUCUUUAAGACUUCUUGAAGAUCAUUUAUAAAACUGCCUGGGUCUUAGGAGUGCCUCUUUGACUUUUCAAUUUCCUUUAUGGUUAUUGAUUUAUUUAGGUUUUCUUAGGAGUCAAUUUGGAUAAUACCUUUCUAAAAAAUCAACCAUUUUCUCAGUCUUUCCAAAAUAAUUGAUACAGGUUUGUACAUAGUAUUUUCUUAUAAUUUUUGUAAAACUGUAUCUAGUCCAGUGUUAGUUUCUGAUGUAUUUUACUUUCUCUCUACACCCUGGUCAGACUUGCCUAGAGGCUGUGCUGUUAGACAUUUUAUAUUUAUGUAUUUUAUAUUUAUAUAUAUGUAUAAGAAGCCCCACAUGGCAUUUAAAAAAAAGAUUCUUUUUAAAGGAGAUCUAAAUAAGAAAAAGAUCUUACCUUAUUUUCCAGCAGUUACGAUUUCAGGAACUCUCCCUCUUUGUGUAGAUCCACGUAUCCAUCUGGUAUUCUGCUUGAAGAGGAUCUGGUAUUUAAGAGUGCAGGCUUACUUGGUAAUGUUAGCUUUUGUAAUUGAAAAACCACAUUUGUUUUUGAAAUAACAUUUUUUCGCUGGGUAUAGAAUUCUAAGUUGAUGAUUUUUUUUCUUUUAAUACUUCAAAAAAAUGAGGCUGUACUGUCUGAUUGCAUUUUUUCCUAUAAGAAUUCUGUCAUAAACUUAAUGUGUCAUUUUUCCCUGGCUAGUUUCGAGCAAUCUGAUCAUAAUGUGCCUUAAUGUAGUUUUCUUCAUGUUCCUUUUGCUUGGGUUCGUUGAGCUGCAUGGGUCUCUGGGUUUAUGGUUUUUACCAAAUAUGGAAAUGUUUUGGCCAUUAUUCAAAAGAAUUUUCUGUCCCCACUUUUCUUCAGAACCCCAAUUAUAGGUACAAGUCAGCUGGAUGUCCCAUGGCUCACUGGUGUGCUGUUUAUUAUUUUUUUCUCUGUUUCAUUUUGGGUGGUUCUAUUGCUGUGUCUUCAUGUCUUUUCCUGCAGUGUCUCAUUAGCAGUUAAUUCUAAUAUAACCUUUGUCUUAGCUGUUGUAGUUUUUCUCUCUACAAGUUUGAUAUGAAUCUCUUCUUUCUGAUCAUUUCCUUUUUUCAGCUUUAUUGAGGUACAAUUGACUAAAGCUAUUUAAAGUGUAUUACAUAAUAAUUUGAUACACAGUAUACACUGUGAAAGGAUUUUCCCCAUUGAAUUAAUUACCACAGGAUUUGAAUCAUUUUUAUAUCUUCACUUUCUGAAAUUUUCUACAUAGGGAAUAAAGUCAUAGUCAUUUUAAAUUUCUUUGCUAAUCAUAAAAUGUUCGUCAGUUCUGAGUUGGUUUCUACAGGGUCACUGUAUUGGGUAUAUCGUCCUGCUGCUUUAUGUGCCUUGUCAUUUAGAUUGGAUGCUAGGCGUUGUGACUUUUACCUUGGAUGCUUGGUAUUUUGUAUUGAAUGUUCUUCUAGGACACAGAUACUUGCAAACAGUUGUAUCCAUUCAGGACAUGAUUUUAAGAUUCGUUUGGCAGGUUUGGAGAAAUAUUUAGUCCAGGAUUAAUUCACCCCAUUGCUGAGGCAAGACUCUCGAAUACUCGUAGGCAUCUCAUGUUGUGAAGUUUUUUCAGUCUGGCCGGUGGGAACAGAGUGUUCCUGGUCCUGAGUGCUGUGUGGUAUUCCCUCUGAUUCUUUGGGGGCAGUUCUUUCCUGUUUUGGGUACUUUCUUCAAACCUGUGUGCUGGUUGGUACUCUCAUGACUCCCGGAGGAAACCAGACCUCCAGGUUGGCUCCCUGUGCAUCUGCCUCAGCACGUGUGCUGGCAUUCUAGCCGCCUUGAUUUCCCUGGACCCUCAGGUUUAUUUCUGCAGCUCAGUUUGCAGGGCUUUGCCUUUUCUUCCCACCCCCCACCCCCCAGGGCUGCAGCCUGAAAACCCCCUAAAGGUAGCAAGCCGAGGCAACCGUGGGGCUCGCCUUGUUUGCUGUCCAUGUCUCUAGCAUCGCUGUCCUUGGUACCUGAUGUCCAGUGUCAGGCUGCAUUGGUUUGCAUAUGGGUUUUUUCAGGCAGGAGGGAAAUUGAAUCCUUGUUACUCCAUCUUGACUGGAAGUGAAAGAUAAUCAUGGGUGUGGGUAUAUAAUGCGCUCACAGUUUUUCAUUUUAAAUGGUCUACUUUUAGGUUUGAUUUUUCUCACCUCUUUACAUGCUUUUUAUGUCUAAAUGACUUUUGUCCAGUCUUCUAUUAUAACUUCUCGUUUUAUAUCCUUGUAGACACAGCAUGUGGCCUAUGUGAUAAAAGUCUGUAGAGAGACAAACCAGAUCGCUAGCCGGGUGAUCCCAGGACUUCCCUUGUUUGCCCGGCGGUGAACCAGCAGGACGGCGCCCGUGGCCCAAGCGCGCCGCUCGAGUUCCCAAGGAACCCGGGGCCCACGGCCGUCGUCCUCGGCUGACCCUCUGCCUGCAAGCUCCGUCCACAUGGGCGAUGCCUGCAGGUUUCUCUUCCCAACUUGGUCACAUGGUGUUUAAAACACACUUACUUUUCUCUUUCAAAAUUCUGUCUUUACAAAAUGCUGCCUUAUCUGGCAAGAUUUGUAAAUUAAGAAAGUCAGGAGAAGUCAUUUAAAAAAUGAAAAUUAAGAUGUAUGUAUUUUAAUUUAAUGCAUAUAAAUACACAUUCAUUUUUCCAUCUCCUGAUGCAGGGUCAAGGCCUUUUCCUUAAGUCUAGGGGUGCAAAACACUGGGCUUUUCUUGCAUGAAUCAGUACUGGACUUCACAGCCCAUGAUUUCUAGUUGGGGUUUAUUUACAGUGGAAUGUGAAUGUGGAGAACAUGUGGAGUAUUCAAGUUUCCUAGGGCACACGUCCAACAUUUGUUUACAGUUGUCCUCACACAUUAUCUGACAGCACAUUUUUGUAAGGAUUUAUUUUUACUGAAACUUUACAAAGUAUUCAACUUGUUCAGAAACAGCUACUGUUUUUCUCAUUCGUGGGCAUUUUUCACAUUCAUAUUUCAUUGGUUUAUAUGUAUUUAAAUUAAUAACAUACUAAUAGGAACUCGUGUAAGCAGGUUUGGAACAACUUAAGUAAGCAAGAGUGAGUGAACGUUCAGGAGCUGCUGACUCGUCUCUGGCCUGCAGUGUGUCAGAGACAUUGGCGUUUAUUACAGGAGGGACAGAGAACACAAGUUAAUCCAAUAAAAGGAGUUAAACGUGCUUCUAAUAUGGUAGGUAAGGCCUGUGAUGUUUCAAAUCCUAUAUAUUUUUCUCUUCUGAAUCUCUUCAUUCUGAGAGGGGUUAUUCUAGUUUUUGCCAUUUUCUCUGAGUGAUAUAUCCUAGUCUGUAUACGCCCUGAAGCUAUGUUCCUGCCAGAGUAAGUAGGAAGUUUCUCCACCACCUACUAUGACUCUUGCCAAUGUAAAUAUCUUUGACCUGUUUUCAUGCUACUAACCUCAACUUCUAUUUGUUUUAUAUUACUAAUUCACAUCUUUAAUUUUGUUAAUAUUUGCCUGCUAUGUCUUUGUUGGUUAAUUUUUAAUACUUUUAUGUCACUUGAUUUUAGGAAUGCCUCAUAUUAGGAUGUUUUUUUGAUUUAUUCCUCUUACAUUUCCUCGUGUAAGUAUGUUUAUAAGCCGGACCACCUUUUCUUUGUUAUUUUUCAUCCUUCUAGUGCUCUAGUGCUGCAUGUUUGGAGGCAUACUAGAAUCUCCUAGAAGCCUUUCAAAAAACAAUUUAGUGCCUAAACUCUACUGCAGUCCAGGGGAGGAGAGUGGGAUCAGUAUGUCUUCAAAGAUUCUAGCGUGAAGUCAGCAUUUAGAACCCUAGUGUCCCACUACGUCUAUUCCUCUGGUGCUUUGCUUCAAAUUCUCAGCAAUCACAUUUAAAUUUAUAAUUUUCUGUUGGUGGAUAGGCAGAAACAACUGUCGUAGUCAAGGUGAAAUCAGAGAGGCGGAACUAGGAGUGAGGCAGAGGAAGGGUCACCGGGCAGCUGUGGCUGUUGGUGGCCCGACCUGUUGCCCUGCAUCUGGUGUUGGGCCUGAAGUCAUGUGAAGUUCACCAGCCCAGCAGGCGGGAGGGAGCACUGGAUAGGACCAGGGGAAAGAAAACGCAGCCUGCGUCUCCCGUGGCUCCACCGUGGAGGACGUGGUGGCCUGAAGCUGUAGGUGGAGCUGACGCUCUUGGCUGUAGAACUGCACGUGUCUUUGGCCUGUGACUCAGACAAGUUGAAAGAAAGGUGGUAGGAGCAGGAGCUCAGACUGGGUGCUGCCCCACACCAGCGUGGCGAGCCAGGACACAGGUGGCGCGCGCCCGAGCCCCGCAGUGCAGGGCACCCUCCCCGCCUGCUAGAGCAUGAAAACAUGGUAGCUGCUUCCCUUAGGAGUCGCAGAUCCCAGGCACAUUUCUUCUGUGGUCAGCUGCCCUGUGACUCUGGCCCUAGCUACCUGGAGUGGGGCCGGACUUCACAGGUUAAGGGCUUAGUCCUCUAGAGACUGGCUCACUUUCAGACACCAGCCUCAGCUCAGGUCCCCAGGCCACCUAUGCUUGUGGCAAAUUCCGGGGCUCCCACUACCUCCCCAGGCUUGAUAAUUCACUAGAAUGACUCACAGAACUCAGGAAAAGCUAUACUUAAGAGUUACGGUUUUAACUGUAUGCUACCUUCUCUAUAGCAAAAAGGAUACAGAUCAAAACCAGACAAAAGAGGAGAUGAGGUCAAGGGCAAGCUUUCCACAGGGUCUGGCGUGGAAUCAGGAUGCAUGACCCUGCUGGUACAUCAGCGUGCCUUACCAGCCGGGAAGCUUACCUGAGCUUCGGGUCAGGAGUUGUCAGUGGGGUUUCAUUACGUAGGCAUGACUGAUGGAAUGUGAUUGGUUCAGUCUCCAGUCCCCUCCCCUCCCAGGAGCUUGGACUGAUAUCACGCGGCUCAGAGACCCAACUCUUAACUGUAUGGUUGAGCUUUCCAGCAAGGCUGCUCCCAUCCAGUGGCCCACCUAGAUAGUUUAACAAAGAGAAUAACAAAACAUUCCUGUCCCUUAGGAAAUUCCAAGAAUUUAGAGGUUGCCUCCCAGAACCAGCAACAGAGGCCACUCAAAUUAUUUACUAUAGAGCAUUCACUCUAAAUGGGAGCUGGGCGGGACGGGAAUUCUUGGGUUGACAGGAAGCAAAACCACCUCAAAAGCACAGUAUCUGACUCCCCUAAUACCCUGUGCAUAGCUUCAUUUUCCUUGCUGUGAGGAAAGCACGGAGACCACCGCCAGAGCUUUUUCACAAUCCCUAGGAUUUGGGUUUGACACUGCCAUCAUUUAAAAAUGCUACCUUCUCUUUCUAAGGAGUUAUUUCUUAACUCCUUAUAUAUUAUCUAUUAUACUAUAACUUUUUUAGAACUAUAAAUUAUUUAUAGCACCAUAAUCUGUAAUCUAUUAAACAACUUUUAAGAAUUAGUCACUUCUAAGUAGAAAGGAAGAUUACUUGACAAAUUGAAAAUGUCAUACUUCGUUUGGGUCCUGGGAUACUGAAGUGUGGAUGAGAACAACUGUUUUCUAAUAGCAGUUACUGAGCGUUCACUAUAUGCUAAGGAUUGUGCUAAGCCACUUAUAACUGUUUUACGGAAGGGAAGUUGAGACUUGGAGAAAUCAGGUAACUUCCCCAAGAUACACAGUGGGGGAGACCACAUUCAUAUCCAGUCAGUGCGAUUCCAGAGCUCAAACUCGGAACUAUUACGCUGAUUUUAAUGAUGUGUGACUGCGCCACAGGUAGAUCAAGUUGCUUUUAUGGCCUAAUGUUUGAAAUUCUUAUAUUUUGUGCUUAAAAAUAGGAAAUUAUCUAUUUUUAUAAUUUUAGCACUGUAAAUAAUAGGAAAGAUGCCAGGGGUAUGGAUAGUUUUCUCAAAAAGUAAAAAAACAAGUUGGAUAGAAUCUUUUUUAUGUUUAACUUAGUAUUUUUAAUAUUGGCUUUUCAGAUCUAUUGAUAGACUGUUUAAAAUGUUUACUAAUGUUAUUUAAAAAAUUUUUUGUUUCUUAGAAAGAUAAUAGAUUCUCACGGUUCUAAACUAAAACUGUAUCAAGAGAUACCUGUUGAGAAGUCUUGCAGCCACUCCUGUCCGUCUGCCUCCUUCCCUACCAGUUCCCGCUGCAGUUCAGUAAACCACCCCAAACCCAGUGGCUGCAGAAGAGUCAUUUGGCCGGGACUCCACAGGGAUGGCUCUUCUCUGCUUCACGUGGCAUCACUGGGGUGACUCAAAUGGGGGCUGGAAGAUCCACUCCCCAGGCGGGUCACUCAUAUGACUGUCCAGCUGGUCUUGGCUGUUGGCGAGGAGCCCAGCCAGAGCUGUGAGCUGGGUGGUGGUUCCUCCCCGUGGGACUUGCUUGGGUUUUUCUUCAGCAUGGUGACUGGGACCCAAGAGAGGAAGGAGGAGGUGCCUGGUAUCUUAUGACCUAGCUUAAGAAGUCAGAGCCCGGUGAUGAGAGAGGAGAGUCAGGUCACCUGGUAAGAGAAGAAUGUGGGACGGAGCUCCUGCUGUGACCAUCUUUUAACAAUUGUAUCUGCUACACCAUCUUCCAGAACCCAGACUCUACAAACAAUAGUACUAAAAACAGCUACUGUUGUUUGCUUCUAGCAACUUUAUUUUUAAUUUUUCCCAUUUAAAUGCUUAAUCCACUUAGAUUUUAUCUUUUAAAAUAAAGUCAGAAGCCAAUUAAAAUUUUUCUCAGGAUAGCUAUCCAGUGGCUAACAAAAUUUAUUAUCAUUCCAUCUUUUCAUUACUUACUGAAAUGGUGCCAUUACCACAUCCUAAAUCCCCCCCAUUGUAGUAAGUCUCCUUGGGGACUUGAUCCUCUGCACAGAGAUGACCAUCUAUUCACGCCCUAGAACCUAAUUAUCGCAGGGCUACUCGUCCCGCACCUAUCCCAUCGCUCUUCUUUUUCAGACUUGUGCAGGCUGAUUCUUGCGUGCUUAUUUUUCUACGUGAACUUUAUCAUCAGCUUUUCUAGUUUUAAACCAGUCUGUUGUUAUUCCUGUAAAAAUGGUGAUUAUUGAUUUUUAAAUUACUUUUAUGAAUAAUGAGAUUGGGUAUUUUUGUUUCUUUACAUCAGUCAAAUAUAUUUCUUCAUGAACUGUUUUUCACAUCCUUUGCCUCUUUUCCUAUUAGGGUUUUGAUUCUUAUUGAUGUGUGAAAGCUCUUUGUAUUUGAGAAUACCAGAGCUUGCUUUGAAAUGUUUCUCUUAAAUGUUUCCCCAAUUACAGUAGCUUCCCCUUAUCCACGUUUCACUGGCCACAGUUUCAGUUACCCGCCUUCAGUCACAGUCCAGAAGCAGAUGGUCCUCCUUCAGACAUAUAGUCAGAGGUCAGUGGGAGCCUGACACUUCAUCACAGGGCCCCCGCCAUUCACGUCACUUCAUCUCGUCACCUGGGUGUUUUAUCAUCUCACGUCGUCAUAGGAAGAAGGAGAAAAGAAAGAUGAAUAUAGUCCAAUAAAAUACUUUGAGAGGGAGGGAGAAAAAGAGGCCACAUUCCCAUAACUUUUAUCAUGUUAUAUUGUUGUUCUAUUUUAUUAUUAGUUAUUGUUGUUAAUCUCUCACUAUGACUAACUUACAGAUCAAACUUUAUCACAGGUAUGUUUAUUUAGGAAAAAACAGUAUAUUUGUAGAGUUCAGUACUAUCUGUGGUUUCAGGCAUCCCAUGGGGGUCUUAGAACAUAUUCCCAGCAGAUUAGGGGAGAUUACUAUAGUUAAUUUUGCUUCUGAUGCUUUUUGAGGUCUUGAAAUAAAUGGUACUCUUGUGUGUGUGCUCAUGUAUGGGCAGGGGAGUGGAAGCUGAUUAUCUUUCAUGUGGUUUCUCCUGCUAUUUUGAGGUUUAUACAUUCUUUCCCUGCUGCAAAAUAAAGUCAUAUUUUUUUAUGACUUUGUUUUUAUAUUUAACUGUUUAAUCCAUUUAGCAUUUAUUAGUAAAUUGUAUGAAGUUCUGAUUGAACCAGAUUUUUUUCCUUGUCAGUCUCUCCAACAGUUAAACAAAGGCCUUUAUUUAACUGUUUAUUUUUCUGGAAUUCAAAAUAUGACCAAGAAAACAUCAUUUUUCAAGUUUGAAGAAAAACCCACGUAUGACUUUGACGGUGACUGUGCAGAGCCUGUAAACUAACACAGGAAGGACUGACAGCCUGGCCCGGUGGGGAGAUGACCUACUGCCGUCAGAUUUCAGCUCCAGCUAUCCUCUCUAUGGAGAUGACUUCCAAGUUCAUGACUCUAUCCCUGCUGCCUGCUGGGCGUCUUCACGUAGCUGUCCCUCUUGAUGCGUAACUUAAACCUUUCCCGAACGGACUCAGCUCUUACCUGCUCUUCCAGCACUUGGUUCUCUCCACUAUUUUACAGGUAGUCAUUUUAGUUGCUCAGGUCCAAGAUACUCUAUCUGGGAUAUUCUUACUCAUAAUAUCUGUUGUCAAACUUUGCUUCUUUCAGUAUAGAAUCCAAUUUCCACUCUCCCAUAUCUCGUAAGACAAAAAUCCCUUUCCCCUAUAUUCCCAUUGCACUCUCUAGUUCUUGAAAACAUUGGCAUUAUCUGCUUUGUAUUAAAUUUUGUAUCUCCUGAUUUGCUUAGAGAAAUAAAUGAGCACCUGCUAUGUAAUAUAUUAGAUGUUAUAUAUGUUUUUAAUCACCCUACAACCCAUUUUACAGAUGUUAAAAUUAAAGCUGUUUCCUUAUUUGUGAAAGAGACAACUCUAAUCCCAAAACGAACCGUCUUAUUCUUAGAUAUGGCAGAGGGUAAAGUCAAAAGAUUUAUCAUCCUUGUUUCCUCCUCAGACCACUAGAAGGAACUAAACAGCCGUUAUCAGUUAUCAGCAGUAAAUCCGAAAUCAACAUUAUUCACGAGAGUUCCACAAAGUAGAAGAAGAGAUAUCAGCAACAGAGAAAUAUUCAUGAGUCCUCACUGCCAAUUAAAAAACUCUAUAGACACUCAGUAGGACUGUUCACAGGUGUGAUGUUGUGUCUGAAAACCCUUUCACUCAAUCUCUGCCCCUGGGUUGGGAACUGAGGCAGCUUCUAUGUCCAAGUGACCCACAUGGUUCGGAUUCUUUAAGAGGAGAUGUGCUAUUCUUAUUGAAAUGACUUCAAACAGUAAAGCUUCUCAAGUGUAUGAUUUGAAAGAACAUUUCUUGGCAUAUCCCCUUGAUAUUAAAUGAACAAAAGCAGUUUUUAUAGUUUCACAGAAGAAUUGAAAAAACACAGUGAGCUGAAUGUUAUGGCUUUCAGAUAAAUUCUGUUAAAAAAGGAAAAGGGAAAGAAAUGAUUGAGUCUGCUGUGGAAUGAGACUGCUUUCAGACUCCGGGACCCCAUAUUUUUGUAUUUGCAGUCCCCCUUAUUUACAAGGUUUGGAUAUGAGAAUUUGGUGCACACAUUACUCUGCUUGGGGGCAUUAAUCUUUAAGAUUACUAACUUAAGAUACUACACACAAACCAAUAAACUAUAAAUAUCCUUACAUUAUAAUACCAUUCACCUAAAAUGUUACCUUUAUUGCUACAAUGAAAGUACACUAUGGAAACUGAAGUUUCAAAAAUGUGUACAAGUACCCAAUAUUUCAAAAUUAUAAUAAAUUUUCAGGAUA